rnacentral:rRNA from 1 species
GACGAACGCUGGCGGCGUGCUUAACACAUGCAAGUCGAACGAGAAUCUACUGAAAGAGUUUUCGGACGAUGGAAGUAGAGGAAAGUGGCGGACGGGUGAGUAACGCGUGAGGAACCUGCCUUGAAGAGGGGGACAACAGUUGGAAACGACUGCUAAUACCGCAUGAAGCAUAGGGGUCGCAUGAUCUUUAUGCCAAAGAUUUAUCGCUUCAAGAUGGCCUCGCGUCUGAUUAGCUAGUUGGCGGGGUAACGGCCCACCAAGGCGACGAUCAGUAGCCGGACUGAGAGGUUGAACGGCCACAUUGGGACUGAGAUACGGCCCAGACUCCUACGGGAGGCAACAGUGGGGGAAUAUUGGGCAAUGGGCGCAAGCCUGACCCAGCAACGCCGCGUGAAGGAAGAAGGGCUUUCGGGUGUAAAACUUCUUUUAAGAGGGAAGAGCAGAAGACGGUACCUCUAGAAUAAGCCAACGGGCUAAACUACGUGCCAGCAGCC